rnacentral:lncRNA from 1 species
UUGUUAGGAUUUUUUUAAAUAAUUUUUAAUAUUUUUUUUUUAAAAAUACAGUGGAUUGGAAUUUAUUUUUCAAACUAUUAGAUUGAUUUCAGCCCCUUUGGCACGUGAUGUGGCAUUAUUGAAACCAUGGAUUCUAAACAAAAUUGUAAGAAUAUCCUAUGAUUUUAAUAAAAUCAUAGAAUAAAUUCAUGAUUUUUUGCCCCAUGCAAACAGAGAGAUUCAUCUUCUUUUUUUUCUA